rnacentral:rRNA from 1 species
AUUGAACGCUGGCGGCAAGCCUUACACAUGCAAGUCGAACGGUAACAGGUCUUCGGAUGCUGACGAGUGGCGAACGGGUGAGUAAUACAUCGGAACGUGCCUAGUAGUGGGGGAUAACUACUCGAAAGAGUGGCUAAUACCGCAUGAGAUCUACGGAUGAAAGCAGGGGAUCGCAAGACCUUGUGCUACUAGAGCGGCCGAUGGCAGAUUAGGUAGUUGGUGGGAUAAAAGCUUACCAAGCCGACGAUCUGUAGCUAGUCUGAGAGGACGAUCAGCCACACUGGGACUGAGACACGGCCCAGACUCCUACGGGAGGCAGCAGUGGGGAAUUUUGGACAAUGGGCGCAAGCCUGAUCCAGCAAUGCCGCGUGCAGGAUGAAGGCCUUCGGGUUGUAAACUGCUUUUGUACGGAACGAAAAGCCCUGGGUUAAUACCCUGGGGUCAUGACGGUACCGUAAGAAUAAGCACCGGCUAACUACGUGCCAGCCGCCGCGGUAAUAC